rnacentral:rRNA from 1 species
CUGAAACAUCUUAGUACCCGGAGGAAGAGAAAGAAAAUUCGAUUCCCUUAGUAGCGGCGAGCGAAACGGGAAGAGCCCAAACCAAAAAGCUUGCUUGUUGGGGUUGUAGGACACUCUAUACGGAGUUACAAAGGACGACAUUAGACGAAUCAUCUGGAAAGAUGAAUCAAAGAAGGUAAUAAUCCUGUAGUCGAAAAUGUUGUCUCUCUUGAGUGGAUCCUGAGUACGACGGAGCACGUGAAAUUCCGUCGGAAUCUGGGAGGACCAUCUCCUAAGGCUAAAUACUCUCUAGUGACCGAUAGUGAACCAGUACCGUGAGGGAAAGGUGAAAAGCACCCCGGAAGGGGAGUGAAAUAGAACCUGAAACCGUGUGCUUACAAGUAGUCAGAGCCCGUUAAUGGGUGAUGGCGUGCCUUUUGUAGAAUGAACCGGCGAGUUACGAUUUGAUGCAAGGUUAAGCAGUAAAUGUGGAGCCGUAGCGAAAGCGAGUCUGAAUAGGGCGUUUAGUAUUUGGUCGUAGACCCGAAACCAGGUGAUCUACCCUUGGUCAGGUUGAAGUUCAGGUAACACUGAAUGGAGGACCGAACCGACUUACGUUGAAAAGUGAGCGGAUGAACUGAGGGUAGCGGAGAAAUUCCAAUCGAACCUGGAGAUAGCUGGUUCUCUCCGAAAUAGCUUUAGGGCUAGCCUCAAGUGAUGAUUAUUGGAGGUAGAGCACUGUUUGGACGAGGGGCCCCUCUCGGGUUACCGAAUUCAGACAAACUCCGAAUGCCAAUUAAUUUAACUUGGGAGUCAGAACAUGGGUGAUAAGGUCCGUGUUCGAAAGGGAAACAGCCCAGACCACCAGCUAAGGUCCCAAAAUAUAUGUUAAGUGGAAAAGGAUGUGGCGUUGCCCAGACAACUAGGAUGUUGGCUUAGAAGCAGCCAUCAUUUAAAGAGUGCGUAAUAGCUCACUAGUCGAGUGACACUGCGCCGAAAAUGUACCGGGGCUAAACAUAUUACCGAAGCUGUGGAUUGUCCUUUGGACAAUGGUAGGAGAGCGUUCUAAGGGCGUUGAAGCAUGAUCGUAAGGACAUGUGGAGCGCUUAGAAGUGAGAAUGCCGGUGUGAGUAGCGAAAGACGGGUGAGAAUCCCGUCCACCGAUUGACUAAGGUUUCCAGAGGAAGGCUCGUCCGCUCUGGGUUAGUCGGGUCCUAAGCUGAGGCCGACAGGCGUAGGCGAUGGAUAACAGGUUGAUAUUCCUGUACCACCUAUAAUCGUUUUAAUCGAUGGGGGGACGCAGUAGGAUAGGCGAAGCGUGCGAUUGGAUUGCACGUCUAAGCAGUAAGGCUGAGUAUUAGGCAAAUCCGGUACUCGUUAAGGCUGAGCUGUGAUGGGGAGAAGACAUUGAGUCUUCGAGUCGUUGAUUUCACACUGCCGAGAAAAGCCUCUAGAUAGAAAAUAGGUGCCCGUACCGCAAACCGACACAGGUAGUCAAGAUGAGAAUUCUAAGGUGAGCGAGCGAACUCUCGUUAAGGAACUCGGCAAAAUGACCCCGUAACUUCGGGAGAAGGGGUGCUCUUUAGGGUUAACGCCCAGAAGAGCCGCAGUGAAUAGGCCCAAGCGACUGUUUAUCAAAAACACAGGUCUCUGCUAAACCGUAAGGUGAUGUAUAGGGGCUGACGCCUGCCCGGUGCUGGAAGGUUAAGAGGAGUGGUUAGCUUCUGCGAAGCUACGAAUCGAAGCCCCAGUAAACGGCGGCCGUAACUAUAACGGUCCUAAGGUAGCGAAAUUCCUUGUCGGGUAAGUUCCGACCCGCACGAAAGGCGUAACGAUUUGGGCACUGUCUCAACGAGAGACUCGGUGAAAUCAUAGUACCUGUGAAGAUGCAGGUUACCCGCGACAGGACGGAAAGACCCCGUGGAGCUUUACUGUAGCCUGAUAUUGAAAUUCGGCACAGCUUGUACAGGAUAGGUAGGAGCCUUUGAAACGUGAGCGCUAGCUUACGUGGAGGCGCUGGUGGGAUACUACCCUAGCUGUGUUGGCUUUCUAACCCGCACCACUUAUCGUGGUGGGAGACAGUGUCAAGCGGGCAGUUUGACUGGGGCGGUCGCCUCCUAAAAGGUAACGGAGGCGCUCAAAGGUUCCCUCAGAAUGGUUGGAAAUCAUUCAUAGAGUGUAAAGGCAUAAGGGAGCUUGACUGCGAGACCUACAAGUCGAGCAGGGUCGAAAGACGGACUUAGUGAUCCGGUGGUUCCGCAUGGAAGGGCCAUCGCUCAACGGAUAAAAGCUACCCCGGGGAUAACAGGCUUAUCUCCCCCAAGAGUUCACAUCGACGGGGAGGUUUGGCACCUCGAUGUCGGCUCAUCGCAUCCUGGGGCUGUAGUCGGUCCCAAGGGUUGGGCUGUUCGCCCAUUAAAGCGGUACGCGAGCUGGGUUCAGAACGUCGUGAGACAGUUCGGUCCCUAUCCGUCGUGGGCGUAGGAAAUUUGAGAGGAGCUGUCCUUAGUACGAGAGGACCGGGAUGGACAUACCUCUGGUGUACCAGUUGUCGUGCCAACGGCAUAGCUGGGUAGCUAUGUGUGGACGGGAUAAGUGCUGAAAGCAUCUAAGCAUGAAGCCCCCCUCAAGAUGAGAUUUCCCAACUUCGGUUAUAAGAUCCCUCAAAGAUGAUGAGGUUAAUAGGUUCGAGGUGGAAGCAUGGUGACAUGUGGAGCUGACGAAUACUAAUCGAUCGAAGACUUAAUCAA